UACGGGGGGAGCAAACGUUGUUCGGAAUCACUGGGCGUAAAGGGCGCGUAGGCGGCCAGAUAAGUGGGGUGUUAAAUCUCCCGGCUCAACCGGGAACCUGCACCUCAUACUGCCUGGCUUGAGUACAGCAGAGGAGACUGGAAUUCCCGGCGUAGCGGUGAAAUGCGUAGAUAUCGGGAGGAACACCAGUGGCGAAGGCGAGUCUCUGGGCUGUAUCUGACGCUGAUGCGCGAAAGCUAGGGGAGCAAACGGG
rnacentral:rRNA from 1 species